rnacentral:other from 1 species
AACGCUCUGGGGUAUUCGACUGCUUUAAUUUUUGAACCUACAGAUGAACAACGGGAGACCUAUAUUAAACGGUGGAUAUCGGGCCUCCAAAGUGUAGAGGAGGAUAGAAACCUUUAUGCGGUCACCCACCUAUCGGCGGGAUAGGUGUCAAAAAUAAAGUGACGGUAUCCUGGUUCGAUU